AGGGGCCUUGAAAUUCUCCAGAGAAGGAGACUCCACAACCUCUCUGGGCAGCCUGUUCCACUGCUCUGUAACCCUUACAGUAAAGAAGUUCCCUCUUGUGUUAAGGUGGAAUCUCCUGUACUGCAGCUAACAUCCAUUGCUCUUUGUCCUAACACAGGGAGUAAGUGAGAAGAGCCUGUUCCUCUGCCUCCUGACACCAAACCCUCAGACACCAAACUUUGGCAUUGAAACCAACUGAAAAAAAAACAAACCAACAGUGAAACAGGAGGCCAAGAACUGAUGUGUGAUGGUGGAUGAGGAAGAGAGAGAGGUUCAUAGAAAGACUGUCUGUGAUCCAGCACAUAUCCAAUGGAGGAUACCUCUGAAAGGGAAAGAAAGGGACAGCUGAGAUGGAAAUGCAAUGGCCCAUCUGUGGUUAAGACUGGAAGAUCACUGACCAUUGAGAUUAAACUGAGGACAUGAAAUUGCAGAUUGCCAGAGACUCUACAACAGCAAAAUACUGACUUUAAUAUGGGAAAGUACAAUGAUGAUAUAGAGCUAGCUUAAAAUACCUUGUUCUUGCAUGACUAACAAGUAGGCCCUUUAUAACACAAUGUGUCAUUUUCAAAGACCUAAGGGCAAUAUUAGCAGAUCAAAGACUUCAGUAAGUAUUUAUUUUCUGUGUUAGAACUGAAUUCACCAUUAAUUUGCCAUCUCUGUCUAUAUCUGGUCAAUCUUUCAUCCACACUUCCCUCUGAUGGAGAUGGGCACAGAAAGCUUGGCUAGGUGUAUUGUUACAAGGACAACUUGAGCAUUUCUGCUUUUUUUAUGCCUGUGGUUGAAAACCAGUCACUAGCUCUUCAUCUCCUAUUGGUUCAUUUUGAAAUCUUGCACCUACAUUGAAUUUAUAACAGAAGGGGAAAGGGAAAUAUUAUACAAAUGAAUAAUGUUCUUUUUUUUCUUUCAUUAUUGCAAAAAUCAUUCUGUUUAGGACACACUUUGAGAAGAAUCAGAGCCUAAUCUCAAGUCAGCAUCACUCUUAAUUUCAUCUGUUUUUAUUUGGGAUGAAAUGACUUACCUAAAACAAGUAACAAUAAAAAGGCUUGAAAUCCCAGGAAAUGGAUGGGUUCUGGUGUUCUAUACAUUGAAUAAGUCUCAUCUCUGAUUUUUACUCCUCAGCUAGACUCAAAAUAAGUGACCCUGUGAGUGGCCUGUCAACUCUUCAGGCUUGACAGAACUCCUUGCAUGUUCUGCAUUCUGGAAACUUGUCAUAUUUGUUGAAAAUCUUGUUUAAUUACUUGGAAAACAUCAAUACAUUGUAUUGUGGGUCUGUGUAUGUUGGAGCUGUGAAGUAAGUGGAAUCUGACAAAAUCUAAUCUCCCAGAAAUAAAAUAGAACAUUA